UGACGAAGCGACGCCGCGUGCGGGAAGAAGGCCUUCGGGUUGUAAACCGCUGUCGGGAGUUAAGAAAUGCAAGGAUGUUAAUAGCGUUCUUGCUUGACUAAGGCUCCGGAGGAAGCCACGGCUAACUCUGUGCCAGCAGCCGCGGUAAUACAGAGGCGGCAAGCGUUGUUCGGAAUUAUUGGGCGUAAAGAGCACGUAGCCGGCUAUGUAAGUCGGUUGUGAAAGCCUUCCGCUCAACGGAAGAACAGCAUCCGAUACUGCAUGGCUUGAGUGCGGGAGGGGAGAGUGGAACUUCUGGUGGAGCGGUGAAAUGCGUAGAUAUCAGAAGGAACGCCGGCGGCGAAAGCGACUCUCUGGCCCGCAACUGACGCUGAGUGUGCGAAAGCUAGGGGAGCAAACGGGAUUAGAUACCCCGGUAGUCCUAGCCGUAAACGAU
rnacentral:rRNA from 1 species